AGCGAACGCUGGCGGCAGGCCUAACACAUGCAAGUCGAACGAACCUUUCGGGGUUAGUGGCGGACGGGUGAGUAACACGUGGGAACGUGCCUUUAGGUUCGGAAUAACUCAGGGAAACUUGUGCUAAUACCGAAUGUGCCCUUCGGGGGAAAGAUUAAUCGCCUUUAGAGCGGCCCGCGUCUGAUUAGCUAGUUGGUUGAGGUAAUGGCUCACCAAGGCGACGAUCAGUAGCUGGUCUGAGAGGAUGAUCAGCCACAUUGGGACUGAGACACGGCCCAAACUCCUACGGGAGGCAGCAGUGGGGAAUUUUGCGCAAUGGGCGAAAGCCUGACGCAGCCAUGCCGCGUGAAUGAUGAAGGUCUUAGGAUUGUAAAAUUCUUUCACCGGGGACGAUAAUGACGGUACCCGGAGAAGAAGCCCCGGCUAACUUCGUG
rnacentral:rRNA from 1 species